rnacentral:rRNA from 1 species
GACAGAGGGGGCAAGCGUUGCUCGGAAUUACUGGGCGUAAAGGGCGCGUAGGCGGGAUGGCAAGUCGGUCGUGAAAUCCCUCGGCUCAACUGAGGAUCGUCGAUCGAUACUGCCAUUCUUGAGGAUUGCAGAGGAGACUGGAGUUCCCGGUGUAGCGGUGAAAUGUGUAGAGAUCGGGAGGAACACCGGUGGCGAAGGCGGGUCUCUGGGCAAUUCCUGACGCUGAGGCGCGAAAGCGUGGGGAGCAAACGGG